AUGCUAGUCGCACGAGUUCAGACUCGUGGCGAAUAGCUCAGUAACACGUGGCCAAACUACCCUUCGGAACACAAUACCCUCGGGAAACUGAGGCUAAUAGUGUAUACCAUACCACCACUGGAAUGAGUGGUAUGCCAAACGCUCCGGCGCCGAAGGAUGUGGCUGCGGCCGAUUAGGUAGACGGUGGGGUAACGGCCCACCGUGCCAAUAAUCGGUAUGGGUCAUGAGAGUGAGAACCCAGAGACGGAAUCUGAGACAAGAUUCCGGGCCCUACGGGGCGCAGCAGGCGCGAAACCUUUACACUGCACGACAGUGCGAUAGGGGGAUCCCAAGUGCACAGGCAUAGCGCCUGUGCUUUUCGGUACCCUAAGGCGGUACCAGAAUAAGGGCUGGGCAAGACCGGUGCCAGCCGCCGCGGUAAUACCGGCAGCCCAAGUGAUGGCCGAUCUUAUUGGGCCUAAAGCGUCCGUAGCUGGCCGCGCAAGUCCAUCGGGAAAUCCACCUGCUCAACAGGUGGGCGCCCGGUAGAAACUGCGUGGCUUGGGACCGGAAGGCGCGACGGGUACGUCCGGGGUAGGAGUGAAAUCCCGUAAUCCUGGACGGA
rnacentral:rRNA from 2 species